CAAGCACCUGGUCCAGCCUGUAAGAGGCUCUUUUUCCUGGCCCGAUCACUCGCUGUCGCCAAGGCCUGCUUCAAUUUGAACAUCUUCUUCUUAGAACUACAGUGGCCACAGAUCCAACUAGAGGCUGGUCUGAAGACUCCCCCAGAAGUGUGAACAUUAGUAAGAUAACUUGGCUGUGAUGGUCACAGGGGUCUCAGGUUGAG